AGCUCAGCAUUGGGCGUAAAGCGUGCGCAGGCGGUUUAGUAAGACAGAGGUGAAAUCCCCGGGCUCAACCUGGGAACUGCCUUUGUGACUGCAAAGCUGGAGUGCGGCAGAGGGGGAUGGAAUUCCGCGUGUAGCAGUGAAAUGCGUAGAUAUGCGGAGGAACACCGAUGGCGAAGGCAAUCCCCUGGGCCUGCACUGACGCUCAUGCACGAAAGCGUGGGGAGCAAACA
rnacentral:rRNA from 1 species